rnacentral:rRNA from 1 species
UGGGGAAUUUUGGACAAUGGGCGAAAGCCUGAUCCAGCAAUGCCGCGUGUGUGAAGAAGGCCUUCGGGUUGUAAAGCACUUUUGUCCGGAAAGAAAUCCUUGGCUCUAAUACAGUCGGGGGAUGACGGUACCGGAAGAAUAAGCACCGGCUAACUACGUGCCAGCAGCCGCGGUAAUACGUAGGGUGCAAGCGUUAAUCGGAAUUACUGGGCGUAAAGCGUGCGCAGGCGGUUUGCUAAGACCGAUGUGAAAUCCCCGGGCUCAACCUGGGAACUGCAUUGGUGACUGGCAGGCUAGAGUAUGGCAGAGGGGGGUAGAAUUCCACGUGUAGCAGUGAAAUGCGUAGAGAUGUGGAGGAAUACCGAUGGCGAAGGCAGCCCCCUGGGCCAAUACUGACGCUCAUGCACGAAAGCGUGGGGAGCAAACAGGAUUAGAUACCCUGGUAGUCCACGCCCUAAACGAUGUCAACUAGUUGUUGGGGAUUCAUUUCCUUAGUAACGUAGCUAACGCGUGAAGUUGACCGCCUGGGGGAGUACGGUCGCAAAGAUUAAAACUUAAAGGAAUUGACGGGGUCAUAGCUGUUUCCU